AGGUCUAAACCGUCGGAUUUCCUCCAUCUCCACACCGGUGCGACUUCAGUCGUCCGAGACCGACAUGGCCACCACGGCCGCCGCCGCCGACGCCGCCGUCCCAGGCGCUAUUCCAGCCCCCGCGCCCGCGGCCCCGUCCGCGCAACCGCAUCCCGUUCCAGACAAAUGUACGAAUUAUAAAAAUCAUUUGCAAGAGUGGACUCAAAGGAAUUAUCAGAAGUUGCCAGCUUAUGAUACCGAGUCGAAAGGUGAAGGUCAUCGACUUGAGUUCAGAAGCACCGUUGAGGCGGACGGCAAGCUGUUUCAAUCAGCUUGCACUCAUAGCCGCCGCAAGGAUGCAGAGCAGGACGCUGCCAGAGUUGCCUAUGAAAUCUUGUUGGAAAAGACAAUAGAUGAUGAUGAUCAUAGAGACGCGCUUGGGCUGAUUGAUCAGAAUGUGAUGUUCUGCAAAUCAAUUCUCCAUGAAUUUGCUGCUAAGACAAAAGUUGGUCAGCCCACUUACUCUGCAGAUCAUCCAGAAGGGUCAUUACCCAUGCCCCUGUUUGUUUCAUCUGUGUUGUUUGCUGGGAACACAUAUACUGGUGAAGCUGCGAUAAGUAAGAAGGAGGCAGAGCAGAAGGCUGCUCGUGCUGCAGUCAAAUCUAUUUUAGCUACAAAGAACACUUGUAUGCAUCAAAUUAUUAUGUCAAAGAAAGAGCUGAUAAUUGCCAUCACAUCUUGUGGGUUCAGCAAAGAAAGAGGAUUUGAAAGCCAGGAAAACUGCAAUGCUCCAACAAAUGCCAUUACUACUGUCGCUCCUAUAAAAUUCGUGCGUGCUGGUGAAGCUGCUGGCCUAACUGCUGAUCAAGGAGCGAACAUCUUUCCUGAAGCUGACCCAUGUUCACAAGCUGUAUCUGGCUUGGAAAAGCACAAGAAGCACAGAAAGGUUUGACAAGAAGACUCACCCGUGGCAACAUGAGCCCAUUUCUGCAGCAGUUCUCACCAAACACCACUCACUAUCACAAUUGGAUCACAUGAAAGGAAAACAUCGAUGAAAGGUUCGAAGAGGUUGACGUAGGGUUUUGUCGUCUAUGGUGGUGGAACUGAAGGGAUUUUUGGUUAUAUGGCGCUGUGCAUGACAUUCUUUUGGAUCGCCGUUAUAUGAUGCUUGGUUGGAAUGACGUUGGCUAAGGCAUCCACACUCCAUAUGUUUCCGUAAUUAGCUGAGCUCGGUGUCAGGAACUCAGGUUUCUAUCGAAGUAGCUUCGCUCUGUGUCCGGAACUCUGGAUCUCUGUGAUUUAACUUGUGGUUCGUCGAACCGUUUCCAACCCGUGUUUGUGUCAGAUCUCUUGAGUAGGUGUUCGGUUCGAGCAAUAUUACCCAUCAUCCGAUUACUGUGUCAA